UUCGUAAUUUUUAGUGCUAUCAAAAAUAAUAUGUGCCUGUCAUGUGCUCUGUUUGGGUUAAACUUAAAAUUAAAAACAUUCGCUCAGGAAAAUAAAAAAUUGGCAAUUUCAUGGGAAAAUGUUUAUUACAAAAGUACUUGCAGAAUAAUCUUCCGUUUUCAAAAUAAGUGUUAUACGAUAUCAGCUAAGAAAGUAACCGGACCUAACCUCAUUAUUUAAAUAGAACACCCUGUAUAUUUUAAACUAAAAAGAUAAGCAUAUUAAAUUCUCUCUGUAAAAAUAUCACACUAGGGAUGACAUUAAAAAAAGACAAGUGACCCAAAAAAUUUCCAAGAUUUAAAAAAAAAAUUUAAAAGGUUCAUAUGAUUUAGACAUUUUUAAUUUUUUGAAAAAUCUUUCGUAUUUUAACCGCGCUCUGCAGUCGAUGUGACCACUUUUCUGUGGUUACCUUAACUGCGGCUCGCGUGAUUGAGGUAGCAGACUCGUCUGCCAUUUUGGAACCUACUGACAGGCCAAAUCUAUGCACAAAAAACUGGUUAAGGUCUUACCUUUAUUUUGCGAUGUGGCGCUGGCGUCCAGAUUUGUUACGCGACGAUGUUCUGUUGCAUGUGUGCGUCCAGCUUAAGAGGUGUUGAUAUUUGCGACGAUUGUGGGUCAUGAUUUCGUGUAUACUACGCAUGUGAACUUUCCUUUCGUGAAAUACGACGGCCGCAAAUCUGCUACGGUGUUUCAUUCCAUUCCAGUGUGGGUAGCUACCAGAGGAGGUUCACAAAAAGGGUACUCGAAACAAUUCCUUCCUCAGCGAUGAAAAACGUUAAAAUAAAGAAGAUUCGAACAGUUUCUCGUGCUGGGACGAUCUACUCCGAAGGUCGUUCGAUUCUCUUUUGAGGCCCACGAUUAAAAUCACCAACGAUAAAUGAAUGUGCUCGAAUGGAGGCAUCAAAAUUGCGGGAAGCCCAUAAAGGUACUGGCCAAAUUUUCGGACCUCGUAUUUCAGAGAACGGAGAAGAGUGGACGAGGACUGUAACAGCUAUACCCCAAAGGUACCGUGGUUCGAGAAUAUAGAUUCUUUUUUGAGGGUCGUUGACCUGCGGACGAACUUCGAAUGGCCCGCGCAGACAUGUUUUAAAAUUCACCAAAUUUGGUUCCAAUCGGUUCAGCCGUUUAGCUGGAAAUGGGAGUUUGACUCAUUUCCGCAUGCACGAUUGUACCGAUAACUGUUGGUUUCAACUUGACCGUGCACUCUUGCACAACGGCAUAAUCGUACGAGAAUACCAAUCGGGAAAUUUCCCGGAAAAUGGGCAAGUGCACCAUCCUGUUGAAAACAGCAGUGUCCAAUUUUUGUU